CUCAGCUUCGGCAUUCCAGCCUGGAACAAUCCUCCCAGACCUGGAGGUCCGCCCCCUCCAAAACUUCCACCGCCUCCGCCACCACCUCCUCCGCCAAAUCCGCCGCCUCCACCAAAGCCACCACCACCGCCUCCAGCACCAGCUCCUUUAGGUUCUGUAGAAGAAGAGACACCCGACAGACUAUGCCCCCUGGUCUGGCCCAGAAAUGGACUGGAGAAGCUAAAAAAGACACUGCUGGACUUGUCACAGCCGCCGGGAAACAAGAAUUAAGACAGUUCGGAAGAGUCCCAUUCAAAGUGGGCGGUCUAGAAAAUGAAAAUUUUAAAUUCCACAGCAGCAACAGCAGCUCUCAUGUAUGGAGAAUCUGCUGGAUCCAGGGCUCUAUCCUUGCGUGGUCUCUGACUCCUAAGACAGCGGAAGCCAGCAUCGCUGUGCUCAUUUGAUAGACUCAGAGAAA
rnacentral:lncRNA from 10 species